UACAUUACAGUGGAGAGGGGCUCGGCUAGAGCAGCUUCUGGCUUCAGUGUGCACAGGGAUCCCCUGGAGGGCACGGAGGGCCAGACAUUUUGCAUUUCUGAUGCACUCAGUUGCCACGCCUUGGGGACAGGCCUAGAGCCUAGGGAUCUCUGUGCCCCUCUCUUAAAAGCACAGGGACAACCAACGACCACGAGACAUCUGAGGGAGAGAACCGGCAGAAAGAAGGCAAAACAGAAGAGGGUGCUUUGGAGAAAGCAGAAAACUGGGAAAUCCAUCAGUAUUCUCAGAGAAGAGAAGACAUGCACUCAUGGGACAGCAGGAUGCAGUUAGAAAGCGCUUAGAGAUAAAAACAUAUUAGAAAUGAAAACAGUAGUAAUUAAGGCUUGGAGGAUAAAGUUGAGAAAAAUUAACAAGAUGAGGGAAAAGGUAGAUGAUACAAGAAAUGGAAAAUUCCAGUAGCAGCCCAAUAGCCCCACUUCUUAGAAAAUAAUUCCAGAAAGAACAAAGUAAAGUGGAAAAUAUUGAAUAUUUAAGAAAAAGUCCCAGAAUUGAAGGGCAAGGACUUCCACAUGUAGCAGGCCUGGCUGAGGCAUGAAAAGACCGAGAAAGGUACCUUGAAAUUCCAGUGCUCAAAACAGGAGGUCCUAUAAGCUUUCGGAGAAGGAACCAGGCCCCAGGCAGACUGGAGGCCGAGGGGCAGCACCUCCCAACACUUCGGGGCGCCAUUCGCAGCCAGCAUUACAGACCGGCCAGACCACCGCUUCAGUGUAAAGACAGAAAAGAGACACGGGACCUCACGACACUUACUUCCCACGCACCCCUUGUGAGGUGUGCUGGCAGCCAGGCUCCACCGAAAAGUGAAGGAAGUAAAUCAAGAAGGAACGCUCCGCCCGCAAGGGUAAGGCAGCCCCAGGGCAGCGCCUCGGCUCCGGGAGCGCAGGGCCAGCAGGCUCGGGGGAGGCCGGCGGGACAGUGACGUCGGCACGGAUGGGGCGACUGAGACAACGGCAGAGUCUGGCGCUGAAUCGAUGCCACUGAGAAGCAGGCACUGGAAAUCAGCACAGUGACUACCCGCGCAGAAAAGGCCCAGGCCAGGCUGUCCUCACAGGCCUGCUGGCUCAGCUGUCCUGCUGACGGGCACACGAACCCCACACCGGGAAGACGGGGGACAGGCCUCGAGCGUGUGUGCACGCACGCGUGUGCGGGGCUUGCGGAGGCAGAGAGUGAAAAGCUAAACCCUCAUCUUCCUCAGUGGAAAGCCAACAGGCAGUCCCCAAACCAAAAGGCCACCGUGCAAGAGCAUGCUUCCAGAGCGCUUCCUCACUGGCUCCACCACUGCAAACAGUGCCAGGUCACCUCCUGGAAAGCGCUGCAGUGGGCGCGGGAAUCGCUUACCAGGUCUCAUCACCGCAACCUGCACCUUCGAGGUCUCGUUCCCUGCAGAGGAGAGGACGGAGCAGCGGUACUCGGUGCUCUCCAGGAUGGCGUCCCGCAGCCAGCUGAGCACGUGGGCCUUGCCGUUGGGCAGUGUGUGGGUCUGCACGGGGACACAGGUCUCCAGGACUCGCCCGUUCUUCUCCCAGACAAAGCGGACGUCCGCAGGACCUGGGGGCACACAGACCGUCUGCACCUCCAUGUCCCUGAGUCCCCAUGUAGGACCCACAGAAGCUGCCCUGGCGGGGGUCACCCCGGUGAGGGGCCCUCUUUUGUCCCAGCUCGACCUGAAGUGAUGACAGUUAAGUCCCCGGGCCUCCCUUGGAGGAGGCUUGGCAGUGCCCAGCCUCAGCAUCUGCCCACGGGCCUCCUGCCCUUUGAGUUCAGCUGCCUUUUCCGCAGCUCGCCCCCAGGGCUGCACCCCCAGACAUGCACAGGCAGUCCCAGGCUGGGCCCCCCUUCCUUUCCUGCCGCGCUGUGCCGCUGCCUGUCCCACAGCCUUGGAACAGCAUCCUGCCCCGCCCUGGCUCUGAGGCCACAUGGAUGAGGAGCCCCACAGGCGCUGUGGUCACCGGGGCCAUAGCUGCUCUCCCUGUGGCGCCAGGAGGCCCAGAGCUUGGCCAGCGUGUGUGGAAGGGGCCGGGGCGCUGGGCGGGGACCGUGAGGGCCUGUCUCAUCCAAAUGAGACACGGGGACCUCAGGGCGCGUGUAGAGGGGAACAGAGACUGCUGCUGGAGCACUGGGGGCCUGGCUGGGGCCACCAAACCCAGCACACCACCCUGGGCUUCCUGCCUGGCUCACACACAGGCUCGGGGCCCCAUAGCUGUGGCUUCUACCCCAAACUUCUGUUUGCAAACUCUGGGCUUUUUAUCUUAAUUACUAUUGAAAAAUAAAGCUGGGGGCCAACUUCACACACUCUCAGUCCAUCUAACCUUCGAGGGUGGAACGUGGCUGGCUUCCGCCUGGCUGAGGGACAGAGACCAGGAGAGAGGACAGGGCAGGGACAGCAAGCCUCAAGGAGAACAGGCCGUGUAGCCCACCCUGAGGGCCACCCAGACUCCGUAUCCCGUUCCAGGGCAGGUGGGGUGGGGACGCCGAGCCAGGUGUGGUCAGCGGGUCCCCUUCCCAGUCAGGGCCACCUUCCUCAGCUGUGAAGUCCCCCGGGGCUGUGCGGAGACGGGCUCAACCCCCACUCACGGCAGGGACACACAAGCCCCGCUGAGCUCCCGCCAGGAAGGGGUGAGCAGGUGCCCGUGUCCCUGUGGCUCCUGGUCUCAGUGUGGCUCGGGCCAGGCCACGUGUGGACUGUGUGUGUAGACACAGUCAUGUAUGUGCCAGGAGAGAAGGUCUUAAAAUAGCCAAGAUGCUGGUGGUGGCUACCUCCGGAUAGAUGCCUGAAUUUGGGGGUAAUUUUUUUUCUUUAUACUUUUGUGGAAUUGUGCAAUUCACUACAACAAACAAGUACUGCUUUUAUAAUAAUAAUAAGGGCUAUUUUGAAAGAAACACGCCAUAGCUCUGAAGGAAAUUCUGAAAGUUUCCAAACGUGUCUUGCAGGGCUACCCAUCUGGCCCCAGCCUAGGGGACGAGCCCUUGUGGGCGGGUUUAGUUUUUUGUGCAUAAUUUGUUUUAUACUGUCAUCACUCUAUAAUUUGUUUUUUCCAAAGUGUUUUGAACUCCAGCCACAGAUACCUUGAUGGAUCUAUCUGCAAACAUAUGUAAAUGCAGCUCUCCAAACAUCUGCGUACACCCAGAAGCCCAUCAGCUGGGGACACGCACUUCCUACCCGUGACUCUGCACGUCCUUCCUGACACCACAGUGCACGGCCAUUCCCCAGCUGACGGGCACCCAGGCACUGAAGUCAGUUCUAAAAAGCCCUGUCCCCCCUCAACCCACUGGCUCCGCCCCAACAGAGACCUGUGCCGAGACCCAGCCAGGGGCACUGGAGCUGGGAGAGGGUCACAGGAGCCUCUGGAAGGUCCUCAUGACCCUGGGGGCGGGGCAUCUGGGUGGCCUGAGCUGGAGCAAACUCAUCCCCAAAGCCCCAAGGGCAGGGCGUCCCCUGCACUCCUGGGGUGUGAGCAGGGACAGGCCUGGAUGACCCUGCCACACACACACGGCCAGCCGCCGUCCUCAGCAGCAGUAAAUGCUAUUUAAAUAUUAGUUUGUACUUCGGCAUAAUAAGACAUUAAAGAUGUUAAAGUA